rnacentral:rRNA from 1 species
UACGUAGGUGGCAAGCGUUAUCCGGAAUUAUUGGGCGUAAAGCGCGCGCAGGUGGUUCUUUUAAGUCUGAUGUGAAAGCCCCCGGCUCAACCGGGGGAGGGUCAUUGGAAACUGGGGAACUUGAGUAUAGAAGAGGAAAGUGGAAUUCCACGUGUAGCGGUGAAAUGCGUAGAGAUGUGGAGGAACACCAGUGGCGAAGGCGACUUUCUGGUCUAUAACUGACACUGAGGCGCGAAAGCGUGGGGAGCAAACAGG